CAACAGAGAGUUAACAACAAACAAGCAACAGAGAGUUAAACUGCUACACUUAAGCAGCUACACUUACACUUAAACUAAUUAAAAAUUAAGUCACUAAUGAGCUUCUUCUUUGAGGAAUUUUUUCAUACUCGGCUAGAGGUUCUUUUUUGGCAAUAAGAGAGUCAAGUAGACUCAUCUUCCACAACAUUUCCUUCAUUGCCAAGUCCUGCUGUGUUUAAUGGCCCAAUUAUCUGAAACUCAUUCAGCGCAUUCUCCUCUGCCAUAGUCUUCUUAUCACGGGCCUUCGUUGCCUUCACACACGCGGGACGCUUGGUUUCAAAUACAACGAUCUUAUCAACUUAUCACAUUCCCAUGCCAGAUUCCUUUCCUGGAUCUCCCGAUUUCCCCCAAAUAACCCGAUCUUCAAAAAUCCCUCCAAAUCCGCCCCCAAAUAAAAAAUACCAUCGAGAUCUAAUGAGAUCCCGCUUUCCAAACGUCUAUAAAUGAUUAAAAAUAUUGAUAAAGUGCUAUAAAUGAUUUAUUAUCCUUUACAAAUGAUCUACAAUAAUGUGUCCGAGCCAUACAUGUAGAAAAUGCACAAACUGUUUGAACGAAGCAGCUAUCUUUCUGUGCAAAGUUAACUACCUUUCUGUGCAAAGCUUCACAUACAAUCAGAGCCGGUCCUGAGUUUUUGGUGGCUAGAAGCGAGUAAAAAAAAAGGCUAGUUCAUAAAAUAAUUUCUACUAAUUGUUUUUAAAUAACUAAAUAAAAAGUCUACUAAUCUUAUACUCCCUCUGUUCCUAAAAAUAGGAUGUUUAGGUAGAAACACGCAUAUUAAGAAAGCUACUUUUUGUCUAAAAAAUAUCAUUAAAACUAUAAAUUUAUAAUAUCCAACCAAUUACAAAAUAGACUAAUAAAAUAUGAUUGGGUACACAGUUUUUAAUAAAGUAAAAGUUACCUAGAAAAAUGAAAACAUCUUAUAUAUUAGAACAUGAAAAAUCUGUAAAACAUCUUAUUUUUAGGAACAGAGGGAGUACUAUAAAGAAGAAGGAAACUCUCUUCUCCUCUUGCCAGCACAACAAAUAAAGCAAGGAACUCGCGACACCUGUCCCAUUAUUAGAACGCAGCGCUUCAUUUAUUCUAUUAUGGGCCAUCUCAUUUUAAAGCCCAAUUCAUUUGUGGCAUACGGGAAGCUAUUUGUCGUGACCUGAAAAAGUAAAAGGUCGUCUUCCUCAGCAUUCAUCCGUUACUUCAAGAUCUGAUUAGGUCAAACUGCAAAUCGAGUCAGCCGAAAAGUCCUUGCGAACCUUGGUAUCCAAGCAGCCAUCGUUUCAUAUUCGGUCCUUAACCCUUAGACGUUACAGGUUGUCUUAAUUCAUCGGCUUUAAGAGAUGUUAACUCCACCGACACGAAUCAAGCACGACAUCUCAUUCAAUGAUUCUCAUCAAAAUCCAAGGCUAUUUUCUUUAUCUAUAAAAGGGCUGGUCGGUGCUCUUCAACCGUCCAAGCACAGUUGCUCUGAUUAUGGGAGGCCAGAAGAUGGAAAUCUAAAACAUCUGCUGGGUUUCAGUGUCUCAGUUGAUCUUCGGAGCAUCAGCUGUGUUUUCUGUGAGAUUCUAACCAGAAGACCACUUCUUAAAGAAAGAACCUAGAUUGAACAACCACCAAAUGAAGAAUUAUGGAAAAGAACCAGCUUCAUUUGUCAAACUAAGAUGUUUAGACCACACCAUCAGUAUAAAGGUUGUCUGAGUUAAAGAUUUCAGGAGUUUCUGAAUAAAUAGGUUGAUCUUCAGGGGAAUUAAUCUAAUCCAGACAAACGCUGAGCUGCCUCAGUUGCUCUCAUGUGAAAGGGAAGAGUUGGUAUGAAGAAAAGAAAUAACCUGGUAUCCAAGAAUACGUGGAAAUCAGAAAUCACGUACAACAAUCAAAGAGCCUAAACUCCUAAGAAGUCACCAACCCAACAUGAAGCAUAUAAAGGGAAGCUGAGACAGAAAUCAUUCUUCCAACGCCACCGGAGACAUCUCAUUGACGACUCGAAGUGAGGAAAGAAAACGAUGCAGCUUCAACGCUUACUUAUAUAAUCAGCCUAAUGGAUCCGCGAGUUAUGUUAGACAAACUGAGCUUUCUCUGACCGCAAGUUUAUUUAGACUUCUCUGACGUGCCACUGUUCUCUCUCUGGCUUGCAUCACAAGAAAUCAGAAGAAGCUAUGGUGAGUCCAUUAGGCUUUAACGAAGCCAAGAUUUUUCACACAAAUAUGAUGAAUGAGGUAUUACAGAGGACUGAGAGUGAUACCAGAGUCGGUGUUUGAAGACUAUCAAGAAUAGAAAGAGUUAAAAAUGAGAGAAAAAGAACCACGAUUAGUCUUAGCCAAUCAUACACUUCUCACCGUAUGUAAAUUACAAAUUUGUCCCAGUUGUGUGUUAUUUUCUAAUAUAAAGUUCAAUUUGUGAUAUUAUUCUUCCUAGAAAGAAAAGAAAUUGAGCACAAGUGAAAGAAGAAAAGCUUUAAAAGGAACAACUACAACUUACAAAGAAACAAACAAAGUCCGAACAUUGUUGGAAAUUAUUGAACCUCCAGGUAGAUCAAAAACACAAAUUUAAAGCAGAAGAGAAUUUUUCUCCAUUUUAACCGCAAUUUUUUUUUCCAAUUUCUUCCUUCACUUUUACAUUUUAUAUAUUAUUCUUUAGAAUUCAUAACAUAAAGUAACAAAAUGUAGUCGGACAUAAGGAAUGAAAAAAAAUUGUAGCUACGAUAUUAGAUGUCUUUGAUUAGAUUCUUUUCUUAACAUUGGUUUUACUAAGGUAGAAUAGGACUACAGUAUUUAUAAAAAUUGAUACAUAAAAUCCUGCGUGUCGCAUUAAAAAUUAUAGAAUUAACAUUGUAGUUAACUUUGCAUUUCACCACAUGUUGAAUUAUAGUAUUACAGUAUUUUAGAUUAUGACAAAAUUAAACUAUUCAACCAAUUAAAUACCAUGACUAAAAAUUAAUUAACUUUUUAAAAGAUUUCCAAUAACAAGAACAAUAGAUACUAAAUUUUUUGAAAUUUGUAAAAGAAAAAAAGGUAAAUCAUUUAAAAUAAUUUUAUAAUUGUUUAGCUACUUAUAUAUUUAUAAUAGAUUGUACUUAUAUAUUUAUAAUAGAUUUAAAUAUUUUUUAUAUUAAAAUUAACAUACUAAAUAUAUAAUCAAAAUUAAAUCUUAAACAAAAACUACGCCCGGACUUACCCUAGUAGAUGAUAUUUCUCAUAUCUUAUUAAUGCUUCUUGUCUUUUCUUUAUUCUUUCUUUUUCAGCACUUCCCAUCUCUUUUCUAAUUCUUUUAGGACCUAUCUUUCUGCAACGAUUAAAAAAUCAAUGGCUAUGCUAUAAAUAAUCAUGAGUAGAUAUAUAUAUGCAGACAGAAAAUAUGAAACCAAAAAAAUUAUAUUACUAUAUAAUUGACUACUUUUCCACAGAACGUCAACUCUAAUUUAUGUAUUUAACUCUACAAUGCCAAAAGAAGUGGACAAGUUAAAGUAACAAACAAAAUUCUAUUAUAAGUAUGAAAUAAUGAAUUUACCACGAUGGAUCAAGAAGAAGAGGAUUAGAGGAGAUGACAAUUCAGUUUACAAUUGCAGAAGAAAAUAAGCGACGAUUCAAGUAAUAGGAUUAUAGGAUAGGAAUUAGGAAGAUGAUAUCAAUUAAGGAUAUGUUUAGACUUUAGAGCUUUACGACAACAGUAACAAAAAAGUGAUUAAUUUAGGUUUAACGAGAAUUUCCUUUUUGUUUACUUAAUUUAACUUUAUUGUAAAGUAAAAAAAAUUUAGUGUGACUUAA